UUACGUAUACAAAGCGCACGUGACCCUUUUGCUCAACAACGGAUUCCAUUUAUUUUGGAACAAAAAAUGUACGUCUUCUUGCAUUAUUUUUCAUUUCGGAUUUAAAAAACUGAUUUAAAAAACAGUUUUUUAAACUUCAUUUUUAACAAGGAAUUCGAAUUUGGGGUUAUUUUUGUGAUUUUUUUUCGUUUUAUCGAUUUUACUGAUCGCUAACGCGAUCGUAUAUAUAUACAAAACCGCCUUCGGCGGCACACAUUUUAGCGCCAUAUUUUGGGGACCGGUAUACUAGAAGUGUUCCGGUGAAGGCUUUAUGCCUUAACUUUGAAGGCACUGGAUGUCGUUCUGCGGAUGACGACGAAUCUGUUUCGAAGCUGGUUACAAAAGAUAUGCAGUGCAUCAUAGAUGGUGAUGUUGAGAUUUUGUACAGUCAUCCAGAGGCAAUAUUUACCAAACAGAUUGGUAGGAUUCUCCGGUCCAAAAUCUACUAGGAGUAUGUCUGUUGUGUAACAAUUGAUGAAGUUCACAUGAUCGAGGAAUGGGGAGAAGAAUUUCGACCAAUGUUUAAGAGGUUGGGAGAGUUGACCUGUCUUUUUCCCCAUGCUGCUCAUCUGUCACUCAUAGCAACAGCUACCGAGGAAUCGAUCAAUAUUCUGUGUAAGUGCUGCUAUACAAGGAUCCGACCAUAAUAAGAGUUAAUCCAGACAGACCCAAUAUUUUUAUCGAAAAAUUGGUACGUCCCCCGAACAUUACCAAAAUAAAGAAAUUAGAUGCCAUUAUUGAACCAUUAUGUGAGGAACUUAAAGAAAAGAAACUUAAUUUUCCAGUGACAGUUGUUUAUGUUGAAAGUCUAGAGUGUUUGGGUACUUUUAUCAAUAUAUUAACUGUGAAUUAAAAGAUUCUCAGUAUAUCGGUGAAGCAAUCCCAGAGAAUAGAAUUUUUGCACAGUUUCACAAAGACUACACCGAAACAAUGAAAAACCAUAUCAUAUCUGAGCUGAAGAGUGAAAAUCCCAAACUGCGGUUAAUAUUUGCGACUGUCGCAUUAGGAAUGGGUCUAGAUGCACGUUGCAUUACGAGAAUCAUUCAUUGUAGGCCCCCAACUACCUUAGAAAAGUAUCUCCAAGAAAUUGGGAGAGCUGGUAGAAGUGGCCAGCCAUGCACAGCUACUCUUUAUUACAACAAUAAUGACAUUGCGCACAACAGAAAGGGUUUAUCCGAUGCUGUGGUCAAGUUAUGUAAAAAUAAUGACACUUGUUUAAGACUGCACAUCCUGAAGUAUUUCGGAUUUGAAGAAAUGUUGUUUGUUGGUCCAGCAGAUAAAUGUUGUAGUAACUGCAGAGUUCAAAGAC